GAGUUCGAUUAUAGCUCAGAUUGAACGCUGGCAGGAUGCUUUACACAUGCAAGUCGAACGGCAGCACGGACUUCAGUCUGGUGGCGAGUGGCGAACGGGUGAGUAAUGUAUCGGAACGUGCCUAGUAGCGGGGGAUAACUACGCCUGAAAGCGUAGCUAAUACCACGCGCGCACUACGCCCUUCGGGGAAAGCGGGGGGACCUUCGGGCCUCGCACUAUUAGAGCGGCCGAUAUCGGAUUAGCUGGUGGUGGGGUAACGGCUCGCAAGGCGACGAUCCGUAGCUGGUUUGAAGACGACCAGCCACACUGGGACAGAGACACGGCCCAGACUCCUGCGGGAGGCAGCAGUGGGGCGGAUUUUGGACAAUGGGGAAACCUGAUCCAGCCAUCCCGCGUGUGCGAUGAAGGCCUUCGGGUUGUAAAGCACUUUUGGCAGAAAGAAGCGGCACGGGGAUAAUACCCCGUGCAACUGACGGUACCUGCAGAAUAAGCACCGGCUAACUACGUGCCAGCAGCCGCGGUAAUACGUAAGUGCAAGCGUUAAUCGGAAUUACUGGGCGUAAAGCGUGCGCAGGCGGUUCGGAAAGAAAGAUGUGAAAUCCCAGAGCUUAACUUUGGAACUGCAUUUUUAACUACCGAGCUAGGAGUGUGUCAGAGGGAGGUGGAAUUCCGCCGUGUAGCAGUGAAAUGCGUAGAUAUGCGAGAGGAACACCGAUGGCGAAGGCAGCCUCCUGGGAUAACACUGACGCUCAUGCACGAAAGCGUGGGAGCAAACGGGAUUAGAUACCCUGGUAGUCCACGCCUAAACGAUGUCAGCUAGCUGUUGGGGCCUUCGGGCCUUGGUAGCGCAACUAACGCGUGAAGUUGGCCCGCCUGGGGAAGUACGGUCGCAAGAUUAAAACUCAAAGGAAUUGACGGGGACCCGCACAAGCGGUGGAUGAUGUGGAUUAAUUCGAUGCAACGCGAAAAACCUUACCUACCCUUGACAUGUCUGGGAUCCCGAAGAGAUUUGGGAGUGCUCGCAAGAGAACCGGAACACAGGUGCUGCAUGGCUGUCGUCAGCUCGUGUCGUGAGAUGUUGGGUUAAGUCCCGCAACGAAGGCGCAACCCUUGUCAUUAGUUGCUACGAAAGGCACUCUAAUGAGACUGCCGGUGACAAACCGGAGGAAGGUGGGGAUGACGUCAAGUCCUCAUGGCCCAUAUGGGUAGGGCUUCACACGUCAUACAAUGGUCGGGACAGAGGGUCGCCAACCGCGAGGGGAGCCAAUCAGAAACGAUCGUAGUCCGGAUCGCAGUCUGCAACUCGACUUCGUGAAGUCGGAAUCGCUGGUAAUCGCGAAUCAGCAUGUCGCGGUGAAUACGUUCCCGGGUCUUGUACCCAUCGCCCGUCACACCAUGGGAGUGGGUUUACCAGAAGUAGUUAGCCUAACCGUAAGGAGGGCGAUUACCACGGUAGGAUUCAUGACUGGGGUGAAGUCGUAACAAGGUAG
rnacentral:rRNA from 1 species